rnacentral:rRNA from 1 species
CGCGUGUGUGAAGAAGGCCUUCGGGUUGUAAAGCACUUUCAGUUGUGAGGAAAAGUGAGUAGUUAAUACCUGCUCACCGUGACGUUAACAACAGAAGAAGCACCGGCUAACUCCGUGCCAGCAGCCGCGGUAAUACGGAGGGUGCGAGCGUUAAUCGGAAUUACUGGGCGUAAAGCGCACGCAGGCGGUUUGUUAAGCUAGAUGUGAAAGCCCCGAGCUCAACUUGGGAUGGUCAUUUAGAACUGGCAGACUAGAGUCUUGGAGAGGGGAGUGGAAUUCCAGGUGUAGCGGUGAAAUGCGUAGAUAUCUGGAGGAACAUCAGUGGCGAAGGCGACUCCCUGGCCAAAGACUGACGCUCAUGUGCGAAAGUGUGGGUAGCGAACAGGAUUAGAUACCCUGGUAGUCCACACCGUAAACGCUGUCUACUAGCUGUUUGUGGCUUUAAGCCGUGAGUAGCGAAGCUAACGCGAUAAGUAGACCGCCUGGGGAGUACGGCCGCAAGGUUAAAACUCAAAUGAAUUGACGGGGGCCCGCACAAGCGGUGGAGCAUGUGGUUUAAUUCGAUGCAACGCGAAGAACCUUACCUACACUUGACAUGCAGAGAACUUUCUAGAGAUAGAUUGGUGCCUUCGGGAACUCUGACACAGGUGCUGCAUGGCUGUCGUCAGCUCGUGUCGUGA